AUCAUUUUUUAACUCUCCAUCAUACAUUGGCCUGCAAAUCUACACACAUAUGCUACAGCAGAUAUUGAAUUUAUGAAGCCAUGACCUCAAACAAAAUUGGUCAAAGUACAGGAUCAAAACAAUGGAUUAGCAUUUUGUACUCAACACUUAAAGGAAACGUUGAGGCAACUUGAGUCAGUUUCCUUAUUCAUAUAUGUUUCCUUCUCUGGGACAAAAGUGGAUUCCUGUUCCAGUGAUUUAAAUAAAUAGAACUGCUCCUGCUUGAGGCUCUCCUUUAAUUUUCCACUUCAUAUCCUGAGUCCGACCGUGUAAAUAUGACAAACAACCAAGCCAACCUGUCACAGAGAAAUCAAGUGUCACCUGCAGAGAGGAAGGAUCAGGACAACUGGUGCUUUCACUUGCAUGCUGUCAUUUACAGGUGGGGACACUUGCUUAAUGACGAGAGCAGCCAUUUAGAGAGUCAGCUGAUCUGGAGGAUGUGAACAGGUGAUUCACUGACAGUCAGAUGUGUUAACGGCUGUGUUCUCCAGCUGGAGUUGUGGUUGAUUUAGCUGAUUCAAGGAGAAAUCAAGAUGGGGAUGAGUUGGCGUAUAUAUCUGAACUCGGUGGCUGAUUAAUAACAUUCUAUGUGCACCACCUGGGAGUUUGGCUGAGCUGGAAGAUUCACAGUUGAGGAAUACGCAAUUAGCAUGGACAGAAGAGGCAUUUAGAUCGUUCUGCCUUUUCUAACUCCGGUCCCUGUUUCCCGACCCUUGUCUGGUCAGCCCUGCUGCUCUGCCCUGGAACCUUGCAUUACUUAGUCCCCUUGGAUCCCACUCUGGACCUGCUUCCUCAGCCCCUAACUGCCCCUGCCCCAGUUUCAGUUCCUAGCUCUCAGCUACCAGCUCCAGCUUUCCCUAGCCUGCAGCCCAUCAUCCCCAUGCUCUGCAAUAAAUAUCUUUUUUCCUUA